rnacentral:rRNA from 1 species
GGUUAAGCGACUAAGCGUACACGGUGGAUGCCCUGGCAGUCAGAGGCGAUGAAGGACGUGCUAAUCUGCGAUAAGCGUCGGUAAGGUGAUAUGAACCGUUAUAACCGGCGAUUUCCGAAUGGGGAAACCCAGUGUGUUUCGACACACUAUCAUUAACUGAAUCCAUAGGUUAAUGAGGCGAACCGGGGGAACUGAAACAUCUAAGUACCCCGAGGAAAAGAAAUCAACCGAGAUUCCCCCAGUAGCGGCGAGCGAACGGGGAGCAGCCCAGAGCCUGAAUCAGUGUGUGUGUUAGUGGAAGCGUCUGGAAAGGCGCGCGAUACAGGGUGACAGCCCCGUACACAAAAAUGCACAUGCUGUGAGCUCGAUGAGUAGGGCGGGACACGUGGUAUCCUGUCUGAAUAUGGGGGGACCAUCCUCCAAGGCUAAAUACUCCUGACUGACCGAUAGUGAACCAGUACCGUGAGGGAAAGGCGAAAAGAACCCCGGCGAGGGGAGUGAAAAAGAACCUGAAACCGUGUACGUACAAGCAGUGGGAGCACGCUUAGGCGUGUGACUGCGUACCUUUUGUAUAAUGGGUCAGCGACUUAUAUUCUGUAGCAAGGUUAACCGAAUAGGGGAGCCGAAGGGAAACCGAGUCUUAACUGGGCGUUAAGUUGCAGGGUAUAGACCCGAAACCCGGUGAUCUAGCCAUGGGCAGGUUGAAGGUUGGGUAACACUAACUGGAGGACCGAACCGACUAAUGUUGAAAAAUUAGCGGAUGACUUGUGGCUGGGGGUGAAAGGCCAAUCAAACCGGGAGAUAGCUGGUUCUCCCCGAAAGCUAUUUAGGUAGCGCCUCGUGAAUUCAUCUCCGGGGGUAGAGCACUGUUUCGGCAAGGGGGUCAUCCCGACUUACCAACCCGAUGCAAACUGCGAAUACCGGAGAAUGUUAUCACGGGAGACACACGGCGGGUGCUAACGUCCGUCGUGAAGAGGGAAACAACCCAGACCGCCAGCUAAGGUCCCAAAGUCAUGGUUAAGUGGGAAACGAUGUGGGAAGGCCCAGACAGCCAGGAUGUUGGCUUAGAAGCAGCCAUCAUUUAAAGAAAGCGUAAUAGCUCACUGGUCGAGUCGGCCUGCGCGGAAGAUGUAACGGGGCUAAACCAUGCACCGAAGCUGCGGCAGCGACGCUUAUGCGUUGUUGGGUAGGGGAGCGUUCUGUAAGCCUGUGAAGGUGUGCUGUGAGGCAUGCUGGAGGUAUCAGAAGUGCGAAUGCUGACAUAAGUAACGAUAAAGCGGGUGAAAAGCCCGCUCGCCGGAAGACCAAGGGUUCCUGUCCAACGUUAAUCGGGGCAGGGUGAGUCGACCCCUAAGGCGAGGCCGAAAGGCGUAGUCGAUGGGAAACAGGUUAAUAUUCCUGUACUUGGUGUUACUGCGAAGGGGGGACGGAGAAGGCUAUGUUGGCCGGGCGACGGUUGUCCCGGUUUAAGCGUGUAGGCUGGUUUUCCAGGCAAAUCCGGAAAAUCAAGGCUGAGGCGUGAUGACGAGGCACUACGGUGCUGAAGCAACAAAUGCCCUGCUUCCAGGAAAAGCCUCUAAGCAUCAGGUAACAUCAAAUCGUACCCCAAACCGACACAGGUGGUCAGGUAGAGAAUACCAAGGCGCUUGAGAGAACUCGGGUGAAGGAACUAGGCAAAAUGGUGCCGUAACUUCGGGAGAAGGCACGCUGAUAUGUAGGUGAAGUCCCUCGCGGAUGGAGCUGAAAUCAGUCGAAGAUACCAGCUGGCUGCAACUGUUUAUUAAAAACACAGCACUGUGCAAACACGAAAGUGGACGUAUACGGUGUGACGCCUGCCCGGUGCCGGAAGGUUAAUUGAUGGGGUCAGCGCAAGCGAAGCUCUUGAUCGAAGCCCCGGUAAACGGCGGCCGUAACUAUAACGGUCCUAAGGUAGCGAAAUUCCUUGUCGGGUAAGUUCCGACCUGCACGAAUGGCGUAAUGAUGGCCAGGCUGUCUCCACCCGAGACUCAGUGAAAUUGAACUCGCUGUGAAGAUGCAGUGUACCCGCGGCAAGACGGAAAGACCCCGUGAACCUUUACUAUAGCUUGACACUGAACAUUGAGCCUUGAUGUGUAGGAUAGGUGGGAGGCUUAGAAGUGUGGACGCCAGUCUGCAUGGAGCCGACCUUGAAAUACCACCCUUUAAUGUUUGAUGUUCUAACGUUGACCCCUAAUCGGGGUUGCGGACAGUGUCUGGUGGGUAGUUUGACUGGGGCGGUCUCCUCCUAAAGAGUAACGGAGGAGCACGAAGGUUGGCUAAUCCUGGUCGGACAUCAGGAGGUUAGUGCAAUGGCAUAAGCCAGCUUGACUGCGAGCGUGACGGCGCGAGCAGGUGCGAAAGCAGGUCAUAGUGAUCCGGUGGUUCUGAAUGGAAGGGCCAUCGCUCAACGGAUAAAAGGUACUCCGGGGAUAACAGGCUGAUACCGCCCAAGAGUUCAUAUCGACGGCGGUGUUUGGCACCUCGAUGUCGGCUCAUCACAUCCUGGGGCUGAAGUAGGUCCCAAGGGUAUGGCUGUUCGCCAUUUAAAGUGGUACGCGAGCUGGGUUUAGAACGUCGUGAGACAGUUCGGUCCCUAUCUGCCGUGGGCGCUGGAGAACUGAGGGGGGCUGCUCCUAGUACGAGAGGACCGGAGUGGACGCAUCACUGGUGUUCGGGUUGUCAUGCCAAUGGCACUGCCCGGUAGCUAAAUGCGGAAGAGAUAAGUGCUGAAAGCAUCUAAGCACGAAACUUGCCCCGAGAUGAGUUCUCCCUGAC